AACGCACAUUGCGCCCUUUGGCAAUCCGAAGGGCAUGCCUGUUUGAGAACCUUGACGUCCUUCACCCCCCUAUUUUUCCUUGGAACGAUGGGUUGGCUUGGGUGGAUCUGGGCGAGUUCCUCUGCUUUACACAAAGCGGGGGUCGCCUGAAAUUCAAGGCUCGGCGGAUCGGGGGCUCGCCUCCGCGCACGCAUCCCACAAGCAAGACGUGAUAAUACGGUUUAAAACCCCGUUCAAGCGUCGAUAACCGUGGGCACACGUCGCGGGCAUACAUGGGCGGUCUCUGCCGACGACUCCAAUGUUGCCAGGCGCAAUUCUCCUUGAGAAAGGCGAACACCUGAACAUCUGGUCUCAAAUCAGACAAGACUACCCGCUGAACUUAA
rnacentral:misc_RNA from 1 species